rnacentral:sRNA from 1 species
GCAGGGUGUUCCGGCGCAUGCCUGUAAUCCCAGCUUCUCUGAGGCUGAAGCAGGAGGCUUGCAAGAAAGAUCCUAUGUUGUAGGCCAGCAUGGGCAAUUUAGCUAGACCCUGUCUCAA